rnacentral:lncRNA from 1 species
GCGGGACCGGGAUCCUUGGGGCACCGGGAUUGGGAUCUGGGCCAGCCCCGGGCACAGGGAGCGGGGUCAGAGGAGGGAGCCGGGAUUGGGAUCGGUGCCAGCCUCGGGGCACCGGGAGCGGGGUCAGAGCAGGGCACCGGGAUUGGGAUCGGUGCCAGCCCUGGGGCACCGGGAGCGGGAGCGAGGUCAGAGCGGGAGCAAGAUCGGGAUCUGGGCCAUCCCAGGGAAGUGGGAUUGGGAUCCGUGCCACCCCCGGCAGCCGGGAUCAGCUCUGUCCCAUCCCAAAGACCCGGGUCUGGCCCGGUGCCACCGCCGGGAGCCGGGAUCAGCUCUGCACCAUCCCUGUGACCCGGGACUGGCCCGGUGCCAUCCCCGGCAGCCGGGAUCGGCUCUGUACCCUCUCAAAGACUCGGGACUGGCUCCGUCCCAUCCCUGUGACCCGGGACUGGCCCGGUGCCAUCCCCGGCAGCCGGGAUCGUGUCCCUGCCACCCCUGUGACCCGGGUCUGGCCCGGUGCCACGGCCGGGAGCCAGGCUCGCUCCGCGUCCCCCAGCAAGGGCUGGGUUGGGAUCUGUCCCAUCUCUGUGACCCGGGACUGGCCCGGUGCCACCCCCGGCAGCCGGGAUCAGCUCUGUCCCAGCCCUGUGACCCGGGACUGGCCCGGUGCCACGGCCGGGAGCCGGGAUCAGCUCUGUCCCACCGCUGUGACCCGGGACUGGCCCGGUGCCAUCGCCGGCAGCCGGGCUCGCUCCGUGUUCCCCGCGGGGCCCGGGCCGGGAGCGCCGCCGCUGCCGCCGCCGUUUCCCCGCUGCGUUUCCCGGGCACGGGGCCAGGCGGGAGCGGCGGGAGCGGGGCCAGGACGGAUCCGUGCGGAGCGCGGGGGCAAUUCCCGGGGAAAGCGCUCCCGGGGGCCGCUCCGGAGCCGCUCCCGCUUUUCCAGACCGGCUGCGGCUGCUGCCGGCCGCCACUGCAGGUGCCGGGGAAGCGCAGAGCGCCUCGGGACGCAGGGAAUUCCGGGAGCGGAUCCGGGAUCCCAGCCCGGCUGGAUGGGGAUCACCCGGGAAUUCCAUCCCAGCGCCCCCAGAGCCCAAAAUCCCAAUAUUCCAUAGGAAACCUUCCCCGUUUCCCAUCCCUCCAAUCCCGUGGGGCAGCUCCUGCUAUCCCGGGAUGCUCCAGGCAUGGAGCAGCCCCAGAUUCUCUGAGAAUUCCACCCCAAAAACCCAAUAUUCCAUAGGAAGCCAUUCCCUGCUUUUCAUCCUUUCAGCUUUUACAGCAAAUCCCUCCGCAGCUUGCCCAUAAAAACCCCUGGGAAAGGCUCAGGGAUCUCCUGAAAUUCCCAUUUUCCAGCAAUUCCAGCUCCUGCUGCUGAUCCCGGCGUGCC